rnacentral:rRNA from 1 species
AGAGUUUGAUCCUGGCUCAGAACGAACGCUGGCGGCAUGGCUAAGACUGCAAGUCGAACGGUACGCUGUGGUUUACUAUGGCGUAUAGUGGCGAACGGGUGAGUAAUAAAUAGGUAACGUACCCCGGGCUCAGGGAUAGCGUCGGAGACUUCGGUCUCCUUGCGAAAGCGGCGGUAAUACCUGAUGAUGCCCGCGAACGGCAUCGUUUGCGGAUCAAGGGUGGGGACCUUCGGGCCUGCCGGCCUGGGAGCGGCCUAUUUCCUAUCAGCUUGUUGGUGAGGUAACGGCUCACCAAGGCAGCGACGGGUAGCCGGACUGAGAGGUUGACCGGCCACAUCGGGACUGAGACACUGCCCGGACACCUACGGGUGGCUGCAGUAACGAAUCUUCCGCAAUGGGCGAAAGCCUGACGGAGCAAUGCCGCGUGGAGGACGAAUUUCUUCGGGAUGUAAACUCCUUUUGGGGCGAAGAAACCAAUGGGUGGUAAUAUCACCCGGCGCUGAUCUAGCCCCGAAUAAGCCUCGGCUAAUUCCGUGCCAGCAGCCGCGGUAAUACGGAAGAGGCAAGCGUUGUUCGGAAUCACUGGGCUUAAAGCGGGUGUAGGCGGCCUUUCAAGUACCUUGUGAAAGCCCUCGGCUCAACCGAGGAACUGCUUGGUAUACUGUUUGGCUUGAGGCCGGUAGGGGUGCCUGGAACUCUAGGUGGAGCGGUGAAAUGCGUUGAGAUCUAGGGGAACGCCUGUGGCGAAAGCGGGGCACUGGGCCGGUCCUGACGCUGAGACCCGAAAGCGUAGGGAGCAAACGGGAUUAGAUACCCCGGUAGUCUACGCCGUAAACGAUGCGCACAAGGUUCAUCGGCUUCUGACGGUUGGUGGGCCGAAACAAAAGUGUUAAGUGCGCCGCCUGGGGAGUACGGCCGCAAGGCUAAAACUCAAAGGAAUUGACGGGGGCUCACACAAGCGGUGGAGCAUGUGGCUUAAUUCGAGGCAACGCGCAGAACCUUACCCGGGUUGAACUACGUUGUAUUAGCUGCAGGAAACUGUAGUGACGCGGCUUGCCGUGGAACUUCGAUAGGUGCUGCAUGGCUGUCGUCAGCUCGUGUCGUGAGAUGUAGGGUUAAGUCCCCUAACGAGCGAAACCCUUGUCGUUAGUUGCCAGCGCGUAAUGGCGGGCACUUUAGCGAGACUGCCGGUGUCAAACCGGAGGAAGGCGGGGACGACGUCAAGUCAUCAUGGCCCUUAAGCCCGGGGUUGCACACGUGCUACAAUGGGACGGUACAGAGCGAUGCGAGACCGCGAGGUGGAGCAAACCGCAGAAAACGUCCCCCAGUUCGGAUUGCAGGCUGCAACUCGCCUGCAUGAAGUUGGAAUCGCUAGUAAUCGCGUAUCAGCUACGACGCGGUGAAUAUGUUCCUGAGCCUUGUACACACCGCCCGUCAAGUCAUGGGAGCUGGCAGUACCCGAAGUCCGUUAUGCUAACCCGCAAGGGAGGCGGCGGCCGACGGUAAGGCUGGUGACUGGGACUAAGUC